AUAUAACUAUAUACAUAUAUGCCCAUAUACAUAUAAUUAUUUCCUUUUUAAAUAUUAAGCCCAAUUUUUCAUUCUUUUUAUUUAGACACAGAAGAAAAAAUAUACCUAAACAUGUUAGGUAAAACAGAUAAUGACAGUUACAAAGAUUUAGUUAAAGCACAUGAAGAAUUUAUUAAAUCUUGUGUUGAUAUUAAAACUAAAUUAAAAUAUAAAGACACAUUUUUUUUUAUUAUUCAAAAACUAAUUCAAAGAAAUUUACAUGAUUUUAAAAAAAAAACAAGGUUUUCAUAUUUUUAGAAAAAAUGAUUAUACUAGCGAAUUAUCAGUUGAUUAUGUAAAAAAUUCCAAUAUAGAAGAAAAAAUUAAAGAACAACUUCUGAAAAAACUAAGUAAUGAAUUAUCAGCUAGUAAAUAUUACCCUUUUCGUAUUUUUAAAUGGAAGGGCGCUUUAGAAAUUAUCAAUAUAACCACAUUAAUGCUUCCAAUAACCUGUAUAGGAUUAUUUUUAUCGAAAAUGGGACUAUUUUCCGUAGCUGUGAAUAUACUACUAACUGCACAUUUUUUAACUUUCAAAAAAGAUCAAAAAAAAAAAAUGGAAGUAUCCACAUUUGUUUUAACUUUGUUUCCGAUACUUUUACAUAUUUCUCUUGGUAUGGUUUCGAAGGAUCUAUUUCUUAAACAUUAUAAGGUAAUACGUACAUACGUGCAUAUACGUAUAUAUACAUGAUAAUUACCACAAUCAAAUGUAAUGAUAUUUUACAGGCAACUAUUUACUAGAGCAUAAUAUGCAUCUAUUUAUAUAAGUAGUUACAUAUUAUGCUACAUUAUAAACAAAAAACAUCUUUCGUUUUGCUUUUUUUUACUUAUAAGCUAUAUAUAUAUAUAUAUAUAUAUAUAUAUAUAUAUAUAUUUAUUUAUAUAUAACCUUUUUUUAACAGCAUAUAAUACCGACGUUUAUAAAAGUAGAAAACAUAUUAUCAUUUUUCAUAAAUAUUCAAUUAUAUAUUGCUUCCCUUAUUUAUUUUGUUAACAACAAUGACGAAGAACCUACAGAAAAUUUAGAAGAGGAAAUUAAAAACGACAAUAUGGAUUUCCAUAAUGAUAUAUAUCAAUAGGAUACAAAUACAUAAAAAUAAUACUUUCCUUUUUUUUUUUUUUAUUCAAUUUUUGUAUGUUUUUAUGUUAUAGAUAUUUUUUUUUUUUUUUUUUUUUUUUUUGUAUAUCGUUAAAUUGUUUUAUAUACGUAAAUUAAAGCAAUAUUAUAAUAUUUGACAAAAAAAAAUAUAUAUAUAUAUAUACAUAAAUAUAUAUCAUAUAUAUUUUUUUUUUAUUUAAUCAUUUCUUUUGUGCACCUCUCUUUAUUUUUUGUUUCGUUAUAUUUUGAAUCCGAAAUAUAAAUAAGCAUAUAUAUACAUAUAUAUACGAUUCCUUUUUUGUUUUGUUUAUAACUGAUUCAUAACAAGUGUCAAACUUAAAAAACUAAAAAACACAGUAAUAACAAAUGCAUGUGCAAGAA
rnacentral:lncRNA from 1 species